rnacentral:rRNA from 1 species
UACGAACCGUCCAAGCGUUAUUCGGAAUCACUGGGCUUACAGAGUUCGUAGGCGGUCUGGAAAGUUGGGUGUGAAAUCCCUCGGCUCAACCGAGGAACUGCGCUCGAAACUACCCGACUCGAGGGAGAUAGAGGAAAGCGGAACUGAUGGUGGAGCGGUGAAAUGCGUUGAUAUCAUCAGGAACACCGGUGGCGAAGGCGGCUUUCUGGGUCUUACCUGACGCUGAGGAACGAAAGCUAGGGGAGCGAACGGG